AUGUACGUACCGGGAGAGGCGGCAGAGGUAGCGGAGGUCGAGGAUGGUGCCGCUGUGGCAGGUGUCGAUGAUGGCGUGGAGCUUCACGCCGGGGCCCAGCGGCCGGACGAUGGUCUCGUUGAUCUCGUCGUCCAGGAUCUUGCCCUUCUCCUCGAAGUCCAGCGGGCACAGCGCCUCGUUGUACCCGUCCACCUCGUCGCCGGCCGUGUCCAGCUUCUGCACGCCGUGCCCGGAGAAGUGGAACACCAGCGAGUCGCCGGCGGAGCACCCCUCCACGAGCCACCGCAUCGCCAUGAGCAGGUUCUCCCUCAUCGGCACUCUGCUCUGGUCGUCACUCUCCUCUGCCACAACCACAAACACAUCGAUCAUACAUCAGAUGAUCAGAUACACUUCUUGAUCGCUUCUCGGUCGAUAAUUUCUUUCGUGAAUACAGUAGAUUCUUGGAUUAGUUACUACCGGUGA
rnacentral:rRNA from 1 species